rnacentral:rRNA from 2 species
GAUGAACGCUGGCGGCGUGCCUAAUACAUGCAAGUCGAGCGAAUGGAUUAAGAGCUUGCUCUUAUGAAGUUAGCGGCGGACGGGUGAGUAACACGUGGGUAACCUGCCCAUAAGACUGGGAUAACUCCGGGAAACCGGGGCUAAUACCGGAUAACAUUUUGAACCGCAUGGUUCGAAAUUGAAAGGCGGCUUCGGCUGUCACUUAUGGAUGGACCCGCGUCGCAUUAGCUAGUUGGUGAGGUAACGGCUCACCAAGGCAACGAUGCGUAGCCGACCUGAGAGGGUGAUCGGCCACACUGGGACUGAGACACGGCCCAGACUCCUACGGGAGGCAGCAGUAGGGAAUCUUCCGCAAUGGACGAAAGUCUGACGGAGCAACGCCGCGUGAGUGAUGAAGGCUUUCGGGUCGUAAAACUCUGUUGUUAGGGAAGAACAAGUGCUAGUUGAAUAAGCUGGCACCUUGACGGUACCUA